CUAGCACUUUCACAGGUCCUCCCCUGGGCAGUGGGGCCAGGAUUUGGUAGCUGGUAUUGAAAUUGAAAACCCUUGAUUGUAUCCUUGCCCUGGGACUGUGUCAGUGGCAACUGUCAGUGGGACAGAG
rnacentral:snoRNA from 1 species